UGCCUGUUUUUUUUAUUCAAAUUUUUUCCCUAUCAACUUUCGAUGGUAAGGUAUUGGCUUGCCAUUGUUUCAAUGGGUAACGGGGAAUUAGGGUUCGAUUCCGGAGAGGGAGCCUGAGAAACGGCUACCACAUCCAAGGAAGGCAGCAGGCGCGCAAAUUACCCAAUCCCGACGCGGGGAGGUAGUGACAAUAAAUAUGAACAGGGUCUUUGGGUCUGUAAUCGAAUAGUCAUUACCCAAGGCACCUUAGUUUAAUUUUGUUUUUACUUGUUUUCUGA
rnacentral:rRNA from 1 species